UAAAUUUUUUUCGUCCCUCACGAAGAAACGAAACAGUAUUUUUGAAUAUUUGGAUUACAAACUAUUAUUUUAUGAGUUUUAUGUGUUGUGUUUACGUGAUGUGUAAUGUGUAUUUUGUACCUGCUGGAUAAUAUUUUGAAACAUAUUUAAUUAAACAAAAAGCAUCUGUAUUACAGGUGUGACUGCUAAGUGGUCGUACUCGCCACUUUAACCAACCAUUGGUGGGACCAUGGUAGGACCUUCAGAGAUUAUAAUGCGAAUUUUUCAUACCAUGUAAAUCUAUAUACAUAUAUUAAUAAAUGCGUUUGUUUUA